UUAAAAUAUAUCUGCAAGUAGAUGCCUGAUACGGCCACAAGCCAAUACAUAGUAACUGAAUCCGAUUAAGCGUGUACGCACUUGCAAAGUCGCGUCUGUAUAUUUUCAACGUCUCUUCAUUCCUGAUCGAGAUGCGAGACAGAGCGCUUCUCCAACGACACGUCCCUGAUGUUCAAAUGGUGUUAAAACAUUCGAUGAAAAUACCUACAAAGGUUGCUACAUAGAAAAGUUAACUUCUGAAUACUUUUAAAUACUGUAUACUUUUAAAUAUAUAUUAAGUAUUAUAUCAUUAACAACAUGGAUGUAAUCGUGACAGACUAGCAAAACCUUGUAAAGACGGAACGAACAAACCACCAAUGACGAUUGUGCAAUGUCGUAUGCUCCUUUGCAUCAAAUACAAUAGUAACUUCUGUGUUUUCAACGGAGCUACGUACCAAUGUGCAUUGUAUCUGUACAAUUUAUAGAACGAGAAAUAAGUUGUAAUACAAAAUUUUAAUAUUA